rnacentral:rRNA from 1 species
UAUUAAAGGGCUGCAGUAUAUUGACUGUACAAAGGUAGCAUAAUCAUUAGUCAUUUAAUUGAUGACUUGUAUGAAGGAUUGGAUGAAAUAUAAACUGUCUCUUAAUUAUUAUAUUUAGAACUUAAUUUUUUAAUUAAAAAGUUAAAAUAUAUUAAAAAGACGAGAAGACCCUAUAGAGUUUUAUGAAUUAAAUUAAUUAAGAUUAUUUGUAAGAUUAAAAUUAAAAUUAAUUUAUUUAUUUUGUUGGGGUGACAGAAAAAUAUAAUAAACUUUUUAUAUAUUUAAAACAUUAAUAAGUGAUUAAAUGAUCCAAUAUUAUUGAUUAUAAGAAAAAAUUACCUUAGGGAUAACAGCGUAAUUUUUUUUUUUAGUUCAUAUAAAAAAAAAAGUUUGCGACCUCGAUGUUGGAUUAAGAUAAAAUUUAAAUGCAGAAG